rnacentral:rRNA from 1 species
GACGAACGCUGGCGGCGUGCUUAACACAUGCAAGUCGAACGGAAAGGCCCUGCUUUUGUGGGGUGCUCGAGUGGCGAACGGGUGAGUAACACGUGAGUAACCUGCCCUUGACUUUGGGAUAACUUCAGGAAACUGGGGCUAAUACCGGAUAGGAGCUCCUGCUGCAUGGUGGGGGUUGGAAAGUUUCGGCGGUUGGGGAUGGACUCGCGGCUUAUCAGCUUGUUGGUGGGGUAGUGGCUUACCAAGGCUUCGACGGGUAGCCGGCCUGAGAGGGUGACCGGGCACAUUGGGACUGAGAUACGGCCCAGACUCCUACGGGAGGCAGCAGUGGGGAAUAUUGCACAAUGGGCGGAAGCCUGAUGCAGCAACGCCGCGUGCGGGAUGACGGCCUUCGGGUUGUAAACCGCUUUCGCCUGUGACGAAGCGUGAGUGACGGUAAUGGGUAAAGAAGCACCGGCUAACUACGUG